AACUAUUACAGUCGAUGAGGAUAGGUUAUAGUUCAUGUGUAACAUCUGUGUUUUAAAAUAACUCUAGAUAACUCUAGUUAUCCGGGGCGUUUUUCACAAAGUUUGUGUAAGAUGCUUUCCUGGGUCGAUGUGGAUUGUGCCGUGGCCUUUUUCACCACCUUUAUGGCGGUGCUUUAACUAUUAAUAACUGAGGCUG
rnacentral:snoRNA from 1 species